rnacentral:misc_RNA from 1 species
GGAAAAAAUGGGUUCUUUGAUGAAGGAGGAAACGAUAGAAGAGGAAUCAAAGGAAGCAAUUUUGUAUGUUAAUGGAAUUCGUCGAGUGUUACCUGAUGGAUUAGCCCAUUUGACUCUUCUUGAAUAUCUUAGAGAAAUAGGCCUGACAGGCACCAAGCUAGGCUGCGGUGAAGGUGGGUGUGGGGCAUGCACUGUAAUGGUUUCUUUUUUUGAUCAGAAUCUGAAGAAAUGUGUGCACCAUGCAGUAAAUGCAUGCUUGGCUCCUCUAUAUUCUGUGGAAGGGAUGCAUGUCAUUACAGUGGAGGGAAUUGGGAACCGCAAAGCUGGGUUGCACCCAAUUCAGGAAUCGUUGGCUCGCUCGCAUGGUUCACAAUGUGGAUUCUGCACUCCUGGUUUCGUCAUGUCCAUGUAUGCAUUACUACGAUCAUCUAAAGAACAACCUACAGAAGAGCAAAUUGAAGAAAGCCUUGCUGGAAAUUUAUGUCGAUGUACUGGUUAUAGGCCAAUUGUUGACGCAUUUCGAGUAUUUGCAAAAACUAGUAAUGCUUUAUACACCAACACAUCUUUACAAGACAUUAAUGCUGGUGAAUUUAUCUGUCCUUCAACGGGUAAGCCUUGUUC